rnacentral:rRNA from 1 species
UACAGAGGGUGCGAGCGUUGUCCGGAAUCACUGGGCGUAAAGGGCGCGUAGGUGGCCACCAUAAGGCCGCGGUGAAAGUUCGGGGCUCAACCCCGAAUCGGCCGCGGCGACUGUGGGGCUUGGGUACCGUAGAGGCAGAUGGAAUUCCGGGUGUAGCGGUGGAAUGCGUAGAGAUCCGGAGGAACACCAGUGGUGCAAACGGCGCCCUGGGUCCGAACUGACGCUGAAGCACGAAAGCGUGGGGAGCGAACGGG